rnacentral:rRNA from 1 species
UACGGAGGAUCCGAGCGUUAUCUGGAUUUAUUGGGUUUAAAGGGUGCGCAGGCGGGAGAUUAAGUCGGCGGUGAAAUUUUGCAGCUCAACUGUAAAAGUGCCUUCGAAACUGGUUUCCUUGAGUGUAGAUGAAGUAGGCGGAAUUUGUGGUGUAGCGGUGAAAUGCAUAGAUAUCACGAGGAACUCCGAUUGCGCAGGCAGCUUACUAAACUACUACUGACGCUCAGGCACGAAGGCGUGGGGAUCAAACAGGAUUAGAUACCCU